rnacentral:rRNA from 1 species
GCCCUACGGGAGGCAGCAGUAGGGAAUAUUGCUCAAUGGGGGAAACCCUGAAGCAGCAACGCCGCGUGGAGGAUGAAGGUUUUCGGAUUGUAAACUCCUUAUGUUAGAGAAGAUGAUGACGGUAUCUAACGAAUAAGCACCGGCUAACUCCGUGCCAGCAGCCGCGGUAAUACGGAGGGUGCAAGCGUUACUCGGAAUCACUGGGCGUAAAGAGCGCGUAGGCGGGAUAGCAAGUCCGAUUGUAAAUCCUAUGGCUUAACCAUAGAACUGCAUUUGAAACUGUUAUUCUA